AUCCCCUCCACAUUCCCACAAACUACUUCCUUUUCUCUCUUUUUAGCAGGACUCUCCUCUCUUUAAUGAAGAGAAGUUCAGAGGGUUUUUUCCCAUGAAUAGAUGGCAGGCACCUGGGAGUUAUGAAUUUUAAAGUGAUCAUUUUCUUUCAGCCAUGCCGGACAAUGGGCAUCUCCUUUUGACUCACUUUCACAGCUUUGAGAGGCUCUCAGAUCAGCCACAUUCCAGUCGGACUGGAGUCAGAUCAGAGCUGCGCUGGACGGCAUCAAGGUCUCGCACAGAAAGACAAGAAGCAGAUGGCCGGCCCUGAGCGCUCCUCCCCCUUUCAGCGCGCAAAGGCAGGCGAUGUGGGAAAGCGCGCGGCCGGCGCUGCCUAUUGAUCCCUGAAUAGAACCACCGCAUGCCACCAGCCUGUAGCAACAGCAUGAAAAUGAAAACCAAUGACCAACAGUGAAAAAUUGGCACCCUGUUUUCCAUAUUGGCUUUUUGCUUUUAAAGAGAAGUCUGCAGCAGUGGACAAAUAUUGAAAGAAGUCACAGGCACCAUGAGGUGAGAAGUGGGAUUUGAAAGAAAAGUGAUUUCAGACUGGGAAUGCCAGCCAAGACAAAGGUUCAUUGAGGAUAUGGAGAGCAAUAGAGAUGGAGAGACAGAGAUGGAGAGAAGAAUCUCUCUUCCACCAUUUUGCUUCCCAAAUGCCCACAAGAGCUGAGACUGGGCCAGGUCAAAGCCAGGAACCAAGAACUCAAUCUAAGUCUCCCAUGUGGGUGGCAGGAGCCUAACCAACUCAGCCAUAAGCUGCUGCCUCCCAGGGUGCACAUCAGCAGAAAUCUGGAUCAAAAGUGCAGCAGAGACUUGAACCCAGGCACUCUGAUACAGGAUAUGGGCAUCUGAGUCUGUCUCUGUGCCAAACACCACUGUGCGAAACACCUGUCACUAUGGUGAUAUUUAUGCAUAAGCCUAAAACCUGAGCUUUGACUGUGUUCUUAUAUCACCCACCUUUAAAAUUUUCAAGUAAACAUGAAUGCAACACAUAAUCAAUAAAUGAGAGAUUGCUCAGAUAAAGGUGAGACAAUUACAUAAUUUUUUUAAAACUUUUGAGAAAAGCAGAUAUUGUAAAGAAAGAGAAUGAGUUUAAACACUUUAAUAACUGUAAAGUAUUGGGCAAGUACAGUAUAUUUCUUUUCUUAAUCAAUAAUUGCUUAUAUUUUACUAGGCUUUUCAUAUUUAGAUAAACUGUGUGAUUUAAAUAAGAUUAUUGGGAGCUGCUUUAAAUAUGAGUGUGAAGGACAUGUUAGAGAAUCUGAAAGGAGAAAUCACCUUUCUCUUUCUGAACUUGUCCCAGGAAGUUUAGAUUUGGAGUUUUAAAAUUUUAAAUGUUUCAUUUCUAUACUAACAUGUAUUCUCUAUUAUUUAUCUUCUGUAUUAAGAUGUCUAAGUAAUAAGGUGAAGACUGAGGUAUAGACUUAAAAUUCUGCAUACAAUGAUUCAUAUGUCUAUCAUAUUAUCCUAGGAAUUUAACUGGUAAGUGAGUGAACCAGUUGGCUACCAUGGGUGUUUCUGUUACCCAGGUGUAUUUUAGCACCUUUUCUUUUUUAAAAUUUUUUUUAAAUUUUUUUCAUUUUUAUGUAUUUGAUAGGUAGAGCUACAGACAGAGGGAGAGACAGAAGGAAAGGUCCUCCAUCUUCUGGUUCACUCCCCAGAUGACUGCAGCAACCAGAGCUGAACCAAUCUGAAACCAGAAGCCAGGAGCUUCUUCCAAGUAAUUGGGCCAUCUUCCACUGCUUUCCAAAGCCAUAAGUAGAGAGCUGGAUCAGAAGAGGAGCAGCUAGGACACAAACUGUUGUCGCAGGCAGAGGCCCAGCCCACUACAUCACAGCACUGGCCCCCUUUAGCACUUUUUCAAGUGAAAGAGAUAGAAACAGUGUUAGGGGCAUGGUGUUGUGGAAUAGGAGGUGAAGCCACUGCCUACAAUGCCAGCAUCUCAUAUGGGUACCAGUUCAUGUCUUGGCUGCUCCACUUCCUAUCCAGCUCCCUGCUAAUAGCCAGAGAAAAGCAGCAGAAGAUGACCCAAGUGUUUGUGCUCCUGCUACCUACAUGGGAAACUUGGAUGAAGUUCAUGGCUCCUGGCUUUGGGCUGGCCUGGCACUACACAUUGUGGCCAUCUGGGGAGUGAACCAGCAGAUGGAAGAUCGCUCUCCCUUUAUCUCCCUGUACGUCUGAACCUAUAACUUUCAAGGAAAAAUAAUAAAAAUUAAAAAACAGUGUUAGAGAGCAUGUGGAAAUCAUUAAUAAUAAUAGUACAUAUUUUGAUAAAGAAACUUGAUAUUAAUUUUGGGAAAGGGAAAGAGAAAAUCCUGCAAUAUGUGGAAUCCAGAACCAUGGUUAUUUGGCUAGUCUGUACAUUGCACAUUUUAGGACUAAUGGUUGUAAAAAAAAAAAAAAAUCACUUGGUUUGCAAAAUUGUCAAGGGACUGAAUGAUUUAAUCAACCUUUCCCUUUUUUAUCUGCAGUCAAUCUAAUCUUAUUAUUGCCAAACCACUCAAGUGAUGGCUCCUGAUUGAACAGAAUCUCCCACUGGGAACAUGUGAGUAGCCUUCCCUCCAGGAACGUGGAUACCCACAGACCUUGUAAUGUUCUUUUGUCACCUUCAAUCUCUAUAGGUAGAAAGUUAAAAGCCAUUUUAAACCUUAUCUUAUUAUCCUUCCACUUUUGAACUAAAAGUUGAUUAUCCUUAAUUUACAAGAGGGCACUGUAUUGAGAGGUAAGCUGAUUUCUCUAAUGUCACGUACAAAAUACUCUGUGCUAAGCUAAGAGUAGAAUUCAAACCUGCAGAUCAUGAUUCAACCUCUGCUUCUCCACUUACUUAACAUAAUAGUACAAACAGAAGUCUCUCCACCCUGGAGAAAUAUCAAGAUAUUAUUGAUAAACAAUAAUCUUUUUAUGUGCACUUAAAAUCCUAUUCCUUAAAUCAACAGUGGCUGAUUUUGAAAGAGAAGUAAAUCCAGGCAUUCGAAUAUAGCAGUGGUUUUAUUCUAUUUAUUUACUUGGUUUUUUUAGUUAGAAAGCUGCUCUGUUUAAUAGGACCCCAAAUGAAUGAGUACAUUCCUGAAAGAGACAAACUAAGGUAACCCUGAUUGUGGUGUUGACUUUGCUAAAGGCAACAGCCCAAAGUAUGAGUAAUAAAAGCCAAUUUGAAAUGAAUUUAAUUUCAAGAUAUCCACAAACCCAUAAAAUCAGAUACAUGCCAAAUAAACAGCUACAGAUGCAUUAAAAAAAAAUGGUUUCCUAAGUGAAAAGACAAGAGAAGGAGAGUAUCAGAGAAAGAAAAGGAAAUAGGGUGAGAGAGUGAGAAAAGAGAAAGUGCACAGUGUGAUAAUAAGAAGCUUGUCUUUUGAGCCCAGUCCACUUUCAAAGGCAGGAUUAGUUCUUAGGGAAGUUUCAAGUUACUGAUGCAUCAUUCUGUUUCUCCCAAGAAUGGAGCCCAACUGCACAGCAACAAUUUGCAAAUGCUUCUCUGGGAAAAUAUUAAUUAUGUACGCGUUUCUGAAAACAGAUCCAAGCUCCCAUUGAAUACUAUCUUUUUUUUUUUUUAAUAAAGAUCUAUUUACUUAUUUGAAAGACAGUCCAACAGAGAGAUGGAGGAAGAGAUAGAGAGAAAGAGAUCUUUCAUCAACUGGUUCACCUAUCAAAUGGCCUCAAGAGGCAGGAGUGGGCCAAGCCAAAGUCAGGAACCAGGAGCUCCUUCUUGGUCUACCACAUGGGUGGCAGGGGCCUGCUUGGGCCAUCUUCCACUGCCUUCCCAGAUGCAUUAGCAAGGAGCUGGGUUAGAACUUGCACAGGAGGGAAUUGAACCAGCACUCUAACAUGUAGCACCAGCACUGCAAGUUUCACUUAACCUGCUGGGGCCACAGUACUGGCCCCUACUCCUAUUUAAUUUGCAGAAAUUAGACAACUGUUUCCUGCAGUGAAGUAAUCUCCAUGCUUUACACUGAUGAAAACUUCGACUAUUACUCAUAACCUUUAGAUAUAGGUUUUUAGAUCAUCAAGCGCUGGUUUUAGGAGAAGUGAUAAAUAUAUCUAAAUGGAAGUUCAGUUUUUAAUUUUUAAAUAUGAAUUGGAAAGAUGUAGAAAUAUCUUAUUAUUUUAAGCAGUUGAGAAGUGAGAAAGCCAUUUAUCCAGACAUGGAAAAGAUGAUGUCAUCUACAGUAAAUUCCAAGUAUAAGAGUUCUAAGUAUAAGAGUUCUAAGUAUAAGAACUAGUGGGUAGGCACAAGAUAGAACAAAGGACAUGAAGAUGAAAGGCUCCUUUCUCUACUUAGCCCCUUCUCUCUUUGCAGAAUAUGUACUUGCAACCAAGGGAAUGGCCCAGAACUGAAAAUUGAAAUUGCCUCAAGAAAAAACUAAGACUAUAUAUAGAAAUCUAUUCUUAUUUUAUUAAGAUUUAUUUAUAUUUUUUGAAUGUCAGAGUUACAGAGAGAGAAGGAGAGAUAGAGAGUGAGAGAGCAAAAGAGAGAAAGAGUGAGAGAGAGAAAUAUCUUCCAUCCACUGGUUCACUCUCCAAUGGCUGCAACAGCCAGGGCUGAGCCAGACUGAAGGCAGGAGCUAGGAGUUUCAUCUGGGUCUCUCAUCUAAGUGCAGAGGCCCAAGGACUUGGGCCAUUUUCUACUGCUUUCCCAAGUGUAUUAGCAGGGAGCUUGAUCAAAAGUGGAGCAGCAGAGACAUGAACCAGUGCCCAUAUGGGAUGCCAGCACCACAGACAGCGGCUUAAUACACUACACCAGAAGCACCAGCCCCCAGGAACUUAUCCUUGAAAGAUACUUUAGAAAUCAUCUAAUCCUAGCUCAAACUGCAUGCAGUAAAUCCCGAUAUACCCCCUUGACAGUGAUGUUUGUUACCUCUUACCAGCUCACUUGUAGUUGAGGCAGACAAGACUAUUAUUGACACAGACUAAAUCUAAGUUCUUGUAAAUCCUAAUUCUGCUAUCCUGUGCAACACAGGAUAUAACAUUUUGGCCUCGUUAUCUAUAAGCAACAAGCAUGGAGAUAAGACCUGGGUCAGACAAAUGGGGAUUCAUGUCCAGGACUGACUGACAUGGAGAGCCCUGACAAGUCAAUGACUCAACCUCUGCAAGCUUCAGUUUGCUUACCUGUAAAAUGGGAUAUGUUUUCCACUACAUUGUCUUUUUGUUAGAGUUAAAGAAAUGAUGUACUUCAAACAAUGCCUCAUAUAUAAUAAAUGCUUGAAAACAUUAGUUAUCAUAAUGAUAUACAAACACAGAUUUAGGAGUCAGAUGGUCCUGAAUUCAAAUCCAACUCCACCUGUUAAUAACUGAACUUGAAAUUAAUUAAUUUCUCUGGGUUUCUAUUUUUGCAUCUUUGACAAAUCUGCUUUAUAGCAGUUCUGAAAUUAUUUAGUGAAAAAAAUGUUAAAGUGCUUGGUAUAAUGUCUGGCCCUAAUUUUUCAUCGUCAUUGUCAUCACUGUACACUUAAUCAAUGCCCUUCUUAAAAUACGAAGCUGGAAAAUAAUAAGACAUUCCCAAAGUAGUCAGAAUCAGCCCAAAGACUGUCUAUGUUGACCUAAACAUGACAUGUUUAUUAAUGUAGUCUAAUAUUGUAUUUACCUUUCUUGUCAGUCCCUUAGAAAUACAAGUGUGAAAUAAAAAAUGAAUCCACUGGUUCUGUCCCACUCAUUUAGAAUAAUUCAAUAAUGGCAAUGAACAAAUAAGAACAUCAACAGUAAAACAUUCAACAGUGAAGGAGAGUGUUAUGACAAUUCUCUUUCUGGAAAGAAGUACUUAUACUUAAUUCAUUUAUCCAUGCAAUUGAUUUCUCUAAAAAUACUUGCCGGGGCCAGCACUUAAGCUUAGCAGGUAAAGCUGCCGCCUGCGGUGCUGGCAUCCCAUAUGGGCACAGGUGGGAGUCUUGGCUUCUCCUCCCUCUUCUGAUCCAGCUCUCUGCUAUGGUCUGGGAAAGCAGCAGAAGAUGGCCAGGGACUUGAACUCCUGCACCUAUGUGAGAGACCCAGAAGAAACUCCAGGCUCCUGGCUUCAGAUUGGCCCAGCUCCGGCCAUUGUGGCCAUUUGGGGAGUGAACCAACAGAUAAAGACCUCUCUCUCUCUCUCUCUCUCUCUCUCUCUCUCUGCUUCUGCUUCUCUGUAACUCUACUUCUCAAAUAAAUAAAUAAAUAUUUUUUAAAAAGAAGAAAAAGCUUGCCAAGAACCUUUCAGACUGUAUCACACACAACCUUGCUUUUCAGGGUUGCGUAAUUUAAAGGCAUUUGUAAUAUCAUGACUUGCUUAAGUAAAUCCUAUUUCUCUUAGAUAGUCUUAAAAUAGACUGUGUGAUUUGUUCUACAUAAUUAUGCAUAUUUCCCAGAGUGGCGGAAUUAUCUAUAUCUUCAAAAUCCAUAUUUCAAAUACAAAGGGCAAACCACCUCCCUUCAAAAUGGCAACAUAUAUAGGGAGAGUACACUCCAAUUCAGACCUAGCUGACUCAUGUAUAAAUCAUUUGGACUUUUUGCUCAUUUACAAAAUAGAGGAAUAGAAGUGGUCAAAAAAGUCCUUUCUAUCUCUCUUAUUUUAAGCUUUCAUAAUUACAUUUUUCUAUCAUUAAAAAUUUUCCUGUAGUGGCACAGGCACUGUGUCACAGUGGGUAAGGCUACCAUUUGGAAUACCAGCAUCCCAUGUCACAGUGCUUGGGAUUGAGUCCCAUCUCCACUUCUAAUCCAGCUCCCUGCCAAUGUGCUGCCUGGGAGGCAGCAAAUGAUGACCUGAGUUCUUGGGCCUCUGCCACCUACAUGGGUGACCCAGAUGGAGUUCCUGGCUCCCACCUUUUAACUGUCCCAGCUCCAGCUGUUGUUAGCAUUUGGGAAGGGAACCACUGGAUGGUUCUCUCUGUUCCUCUCACUCUCCUCCCUCUAUGUCUCUCUCCCUUUGUCUCUUCGCCUUUAAAAUAAAUAAAUAAAUCCUUAAUAAAGAAAAAGAAUUUCCUAUAGCACGCAUUGUCCAAGUCUCUGUAUGUCCCAAGAUAAUAGUCCUUGAUCAGUCAUUGAGGAAACCCUCAAAAGCUGAUUUCUUUUCAACUUUCAAACUUGCCAGUGAUUGGCUUAGCAAUGGGCAAAUGACUGCAAGUCUAGCCAGUCAUAAAAGAUAUAUUACAUUAGGUGAAAUCUAAGCAGUUUCUGGAAAUUAUUUCUUUGUUCCUAAAAUGGCCUAUGUGGAAGGAAGCUUGUUUUUUCCUACCCUUUAUUCAGCUGUGUGAAGUGUCGCUCAGAGUUUCUGCAGCCAUUAUGCAACCACAGGAUGACAAGCCUAUAUACAAAACUGAACACACUAAGCAGAACAAAGCACAAAAGUUGAAAACACCAAGGCUCUUCUAUUCAUUCCUGAGAUGCUGAGUGGCUGGUUAACUGGUCUACUUACUCUCAGAGAUUAAAAAUAGUCCUUUUGGGCUGGCACUGUGGCGUAGGAGGUAAAGCUGCCACCUCUGGUGCUAUCAUCUCAUAUGGGCAACUGGUUAAAUCCCAGCUGCUCCACUUCAGAUUCAGCUCCCUAUUAUUGCCCCUAAGAAAGCAGUGGAAAACGGCCCAAGUGUUUGGGCCCCUGCUCCCAUGUGGGAGACCUGGAAGAAGCUCCUGGCUCCUGGCUUUGGAUGGGCCCAGCUCAGGCCGUUGUGGCCAUUUGGGGAGUGAUUCAGCAGAUGGAAGAUUCUCUCUCUCUCCCACUCUCUAAUUCUGCCUUUCAAAUAAAUAAAUAAAUCUUUAAAAAACUUAGUCCUUUUAAAAGCAGUUCUUUUUGUAAACCAUAAAGUGCAUACAAGUAACCUGUGUGUCUGCUUAGAAUAAAGAUUCUGCAUCUGGGGCCAGAGCUGAGGCGAUUCUGACAGACUUUCAGGUUAUGAGCCUGCUGCCUGUACUUGAGUAUUGAAAUGAAUGGAAUUGGCUUUCAUCACUUGAGGUAAACUUCAGUUGCUAGUAGCUGAAGUCAUCCUAAAUGAUAUAAUCCUCCAACUUACACUUUAUCAUCACCUCUUACCUAUGUGGAUGAAAGCCAUUUGGGCACCUAAGA